rnacentral:rRNA from 1 species
AUUGAACGCUAGCGGCAUGCCUUACACAUGCAAGUCGAACGGCAGCGGGGGAGCUUGCUCCCGCCGGCGAGUGGCGAACGGGUGAGUAAUACAUCGGAACGUACCCAGUAGCGGGGGAUAGCCCGGCGAAAGCCGGAUUAAUACCGCAUACGCCCUACGGGGGAAAGGGGGGGAUCGCAAGACCUCUCACUAUUGGAGCGGCCGAUGGCUGAUUAGCUAGUUGGUGGGGUAAAGGCCUACCAAGGCGACGCUCAGUAGCUGGGCUGAGAGGACGAGCAGCCACACUGGGACUGAGACACGGGCCAGACGCCGACGGGAGGCAGCAGUGGGGAAUUUUGGACAAUGGGCGAAAGCCUGAUCCAGCAAUGCCGCGUGUGCGAAGAAGGCCUUCGGGUUGUAAAGCACUCUUGUCAGGGAAGAAAUCGUUUGGGUUAAUACCCCGAGCAGUUGACGGUACCUGAAGAAUAAGCACCGGCUAACUCCGUGCCAGCAGCCGCGGUAA